rnacentral:rRNA from 1 species
UUGAACGCUGGCGGCAGGCCUCACACCUGCAAGUCGAGCGGAUGAAGGGAGCUUGCUCUUGGAUUCAGCGGCGGACGGGUGAGUAAUGCCUAGGAAUCUGCCUGGUAGUGGGGGAUAACGUCCGGAAACGGGCGCUAAUACCGCAUACGUCCUGAGGGAGAAAGUGGGGGAUCUUCGGACCUCACGCUAUCAGAUGAGCCUAGGUCGGAUUAGCUAGUUGGUGGGGUAAAGGCCUACCAAGGCGACGAUCCGUAACUGGUCUGAGAGGAUGAUCAGUCACACUGGAACUGAGACACGGUCCAGACUCCUACGGGAGGCAGCAGUGGGGAAUAUUGGACAAUGGGCGAAAGCCUGAUCCAGCCAUGCCGCGUGUGUGAAGAAGGUCUUCGGAUUGUAAAGCACUUUAAGUUGGGAGGAAGGGCAGUAAGUUAAUACCUUGCUGUUUUGACGUUACCAACAGAAUAAGCACCGGCUAACUUCGUG